CCACGUGCAGGGAGAACCUAGGCCGGCUCGAAACCGGCCGGCCACGUGCAGGGAGAACCUAGGCCGGCUCGAAUCCGGCCACGUGCA
rnacentral:tRNA from 1 species